GACGAACGCUGGCGGCGUGCUUAACACAUGCAAGUCGAACGGAAAGGCCCUGAUUUUGUGGGGUGCUCGAGUGGCGAACGGGUGAGUAACACGUGAGUAACCUGCCCUUGACUUUGGGAUAACUUCAGGAAACUGGGGCUAAUACCAGAUAGGAGCUCCUGCUGCAUGGUGGGGGUUGGAAAGUUUCGGCGGUUGGGGAUGGACUCGCGGCUUAUCAGCUUGUUGGUGGGGUAGUGGCUUACCAAGGCUUUGACGGGUACGCGGCAUGAGAGGGUGAACGGCCACAUUGGGACUGCGAGACGGCCCAGACUCCUACGGGAGGCAGCAGGGGGGAAUAUUGCACAAUGGGCGGAAGCCUGAUACAGCAACGCCGCGUGCGUGAUGACGUCCUUUGGGUUGUAAACCGCAGUCGCUUGUGACGAAGCGGUUGUGACGGUAAUGGGUAAAGAAGCACCGGCUAACUACGUG
rnacentral:rRNA from 1 species